CAGUCGCCGCGGUAAUACGUAGGGUGCAAGCGUUAAUCGGAAUUACUGGGCGUAAAGCGUGCGCAGGCGGUUAUUCAAGACAGAUGUGAAAUCCCCGGGCUCAACCUGGGAACUGCAUUUGUGACUGGAUGACUAGAGUACGGCAGAGGGGGAUGGAAUUCCGCGUGUAGCAGUGAAAUGCGUAGAUAUGCGGAGGAACACCGAUGGCGAAGGCAGCCCCCUGGGCCAAUACUGACGCUCAUGCACGAAAGCGUGGGGAGCAAACAGGAUUAGAUACCCGCGUAGUCCCUGUCUCUUAUAC
rnacentral:rRNA from 1 species